rnacentral:rRNA from 1 species
UACAGAGGGUGCUAGCGUUGUUCGGAAUCAUUGGGCGUAAAGGGUGCGCAGGCGGCUCCGCAUGUCGGGCGUGAAAUCCCCGGGCUUAACCUGGGAAUUGCGUCCGAAACUAUGGAGCUGGAGUGUGGCAGAGGGAGGUGGAAUUCCACGUGUAGCGGUGAAAUGCGUAGAGAUGUGGAGGAACACCGAUGGCGAAGGCAGCCUCCUGGGCCAACACUGACGCUCAUGCACGAAAGCGUGGGGAGCAAACAGG